rnacentral:rRNA from 1 species
UGGGGAAUAUUGGACAAUGGGGGCAACCCUGAUCCAGCAAUGCCGCGUGAGUGAUGAAGGCCUUAGGGUUGUAAAGCUCUUUCGUCCGCGACGAUGAUGACGGUAGCGGAAGAAGAAGCCCCGGCUAACUUCGUGCCAGCAGCCGCGGUAAUACGAAGGGGGCUAGCGUUGUUCGGAAUUACUGGGCGUAAAGGGCGCGCAGGCGGUCUUCCAAGUCAGAUGUGAAAGCCCCGGGCUCAACCUGGGAACUGCAUUUGAGACUGGAGGACUAGAGUUCGGGAGAGGAGAGCGGAAUUCCCAGUGUAGAGGUGAAAUUCGUAGAUAUUGGGAAGAACACCGGUGGCGAAGGCGGCUCUCUGGACCGAUACUGACGCUGAGGCGCGAAAGCGUGGGGAGCAAACAGGAUUAGAUACCCUGGUAGUCCACGCCGUAAACGAUGUGCGCUAGACGUUGGCGGACCUAGUCCGUCGGUGUCGCAGCUAACGCGUUAAGCGCACCGCCUGGGGAGUACGGCCGC